GAUGAACGCUGGCGGCGUGCCUAAUACAUGCAAGUCGAGCGAACAGACGAGGAGCUUGCUCCUCUGACGUUAGCGGCGGACGGGUGAGUAACACGUGGAUAACCUACCUAUAAGACUGGGAUAACUUCGGGAAACCGGAGCUAAUACCGGAUAAUAUAUUGAACCGCAUGGUUCAAUAGUGAAAGACGGUUUUGCUGUCACUUAUAGAUGGAUCCGCGCCGCAUUAGCUAGUUGGUAAGGUAACGGCUUACCAAGGCAACGAUGCGUAGCCGACCUGAGAGGGUGAUCGGCCACACGGGAACUGAGAAACGGUCCAGACUCCUAAGGGAGGCAGCAGUAGGGAAUCUUCCGCAAUGGGCGAAAGCCUGACGGAGCAACGCCGCGGGAGUGAUGAAGGUCUUCGGAUCGUAAAACUCUGUUAUUAGGGAAGAACAAAUGUGUAAGUAACUAUGCACGUCUUGACGGUACCUAAUCAGAAAGCCACGGCUAACUACGUG
rnacentral:rRNA from 1 species